CUUUUGUUUGUUGAUGUUUUCAGCUUCCAGACUCCUCUGAUACAGCAUGAAACCUAUCCUGGUCGAAGUUCAAUGCAUGCCACCGAACGUGCGGACCAAGUAGGUGCUCAACGAAUAACUUAACCACCAGCAUUAACUGACAGGAAAGGAGAUACCGGGGUCUCCCUCCCCUUUGCAAGGCCUGGAGGUGGUAUUCACGGAGUUGCCAAAUCAAGAUUCUAGAACUGCUUCUCUACCAUUCAAAUAGUCCCAUUUGGGGUUCUGAGGCCACAACCUUGCCACAGGGUUCGGGCGAUUUCUGGCUCUCUAGCGACACCUGGUGGCCAUACUUAGAUCUGCAUCUUCAAGAAAACCCCUCCCUAUCUUUUAAGUCUCAAACUAAGAUGGAGAGAAAGGAGGGGAAAUUGAAAAAGUGAAAAGGUGACCAUGGGGGGUUCUGGGGAAAGCAACUCGGUGGUAAAAGAGGAAACCUAA
rnacentral:lncRNA from 1 species